rnacentral:rRNA from 1 species
GACGAACGCUGGCGGCGUGCCUAAUACAUGCAAGUCGAACGCAGUGGGGACGGGGGAGUAAAACGUGGGUAACCUCCCAUCAGAGGGGAUAACACUUGGAAACAGGUGCUAAACCGAUACUGAUGGAUGGACACGAGGUGCAUUAGCUAGUUGGGGAGGUAACGGCUCACCAAGGCCACGAUGCAUAGCCGACCUGAGAGGGUGAUCGGCCACCCUAGGACUGAGACAAUGCCCAGACUCCUACGGGAGGCAGCAGUAGGGAAGCUUCGGCAAUGGACUCAAGUCUGCCCGAGCAACGCGGCGUGAGUGAAGAAGGUUUUCGGAUCGUAAAACUCUGUUGUUAGAGAAGCGGUAUCUAACCAGAAAGCCACGGCUAACUACGUGCCAGCAGCCGCGGUAAUUC